rnacentral:rRNA from 1 species
CAAUACGUGAAGUUCUGCGUCUCAUUUUUAAAACUACUAGUCAAAGUAAUAGUAACGAAAAUAAUACGAAUAAAAAAAAACUUUACAACAACGGAUCUCUUGGCUCUCGCAUCGAUGAAGAACGCAGCGAAAUGUGAUAAGUAAUGUGAAUUGCAGAAUUCAGUGAAUCAUCGAAUCUUUGAACGCACCUUGCGCUCCCUGGUAUUCCGGGGAGCAUGUCUGUUUGAGUGUCAUGAACUCUUCAACCCACCAGUUUCUUGUAGACUGAUUGGUGUUUGGAUUUUGAGCGCUGCUGGUCUUCGGAUCUAGCUCGUUCGUAAUAUAUUAGCAUCUCUAAUUCGACUUCGGAUUGACUCAGUGUAAUAGACUAUUCGCUGAGGACACACCUAGUGUGGCCGAACGUUGAUCUCAGUAGAAGCUUCCAACUAUUGUAGUCAAUUUUAGAUUAGACCUCAGAUCAGGCAGGAUUACCCGCUGAACUUAA